rnacentral:lncRNA from 1 species
CGGGGGAGGGGCGGCAGGGGCGGAGGGGAGGGAGGGGCAGUGAACCCUCAGCAAGGCUGAAGAGGGCCUCCGCAGUGCUCCUGGGAGCUGCGUUUUCUUACCAGACUUUUUCCUAGAGGUUUUUAAUGAGCGGGAGUCUUGUGUUCAUCUCCGCUUCCCUGGAGUCAAUGUGAGGAGCACCGUACAUCUGAGAAGCUUUGCUCUACCUCUUGCUGUGAUUUCAUGUUCCUCCUCCAGGUCUAAGGUGCCUUCUUGCCAUUUGUACCUUGUCAGCGUGGGAGCUGAGGAGGCCCAUGGAACACAUUUCGCCCAAGAACGUCCCUCCCAGGCUGCCAACUCCAUUUGCCCCACUGCUUCCCCUUUCCAUGGAUCCCUUGUCAGUGUUUUCAAGCCACUGCUUGCUGCUGCAGGUGCUGAGAUGGAUGCUCUUCGAGGGCAGGUACUGGAUCCAACUCCAU